rnacentral:rRNA from 1 species
AUUCUUGAUUUAUAGAGAUUAGUAUUGAUUUUGUAUUUAAAAAUUAGCUUUUUUGAUAAUUUUAUAUGUAAGGUUUUUUGCGUAGUAAAGUUGUCUAAAGGACAAAUUUAUUUUAUUUGCAGUUUUUAGGAUUAGUUUAUUAUAUAAAUAUAGAACUAGUUAAUUUAAUUAGAUUUGUUAAAAUUUGUGCCAGCAAACGCGGUUAUACAAUUAAUUCAAGUUAAUUUUUUUGGUUAUAUUAAUUUUUAUUUUUGGAAAUUUAAUUUUUAUUUAUUAAGUGAAAUUUUAAUUUUUUAUAUA